rnacentral:rRNA from 1 species
UUUGGUUAAGUUAGAAAGGGCGCACGGUGGAUGCCUUGACACUAGGAGUCGAUGAAGGACGGGACUAACGCCGAUAUGCUUCGGGGAGCUGUAAGUAAGCUUUGAUCCGAAGAUUUCCGAAUGGGGAAACCCACUAUACGUAAUGGUAUGGUAUCCUUACCUGAAUACAUAGGGUAUGGAAGACAGACCCAGGGAACUGAAACAUCUAAGUACCUGGAGGAAGAGAAAGCAAAUGCGAUUUCCUGAGUAGCGGCGAGCGAAACGGAAUCUAGCCCAAACCAAGAGGCUUGCCUCUUGGGGUUGUAGGACAUUCUAUACGGAGUUACAAAGGAACGAGGUAGACGAAGCGACCUGGAAAGGUCCGUCGUAGAGGGUAACAACCCCGUAGUCGAAACUUCGUUCUCUCUUGAAUGUAUCCUGAGUACGGCGGAACACGUGAAAUUCCGUCGGAAUCUGGGAGGACCAUCUCCCAAGGCUAAAUACUCCCUAGUGAUCGAUAGUGAACCAGUACCGUGAGGGAAAGGUGAAAAGCACCCCGGAAGGGGAGUGAAAGAGAUCCUGAAACCGUGUGCCUACAAAUAGUCAGAGCCCGUUAAUGGGUGAUGGCGUGCCUUUUGUAGAAUGAACCGGCGAGUUACGAUCCCGUGCAAGGUUAAGUUGAAGAGACGGAGCCGCAGCGAAAGCGAGUCUGAAUAGGGCGUUUAGUACGUGGUCGUAGACCCGAAACCAGGUGAUCUACCCAUGUCCAGGGUGAAGUUCAGGUAACACUGAAUGGAGGCCCGAACCCACGCACGUUGAAAAGUGCGGGGAUGAGGUGUGGGUAGCGGAGAAAUUCCAAUCGAACCUGGAGAUAGCUGGUUCUCCCCGAAAUAGCUUUAGGGCUAGCCUUAAGUGUAAGAGUCUUGGAGGUAGAGCACUGAUUGAACUAGGGGUCCUCAUCGGAUUACCGAAUUCAGUCAAACUCCGAAUGCCAAUGACUUAUCCUUAGGAGUCAGACUGCGAGUGAUAAGAUCCGUAGUCAAGAGGGAAACAGCCCAGAUCGCCAGCUAAGGUCCCAAAGUGUGUAUUAAGUGGAAAAGGAUGUGGAGUUGCUUAGACAACUAGGAUGUUGGCUUAGAAGCAGCCACCAUUUAAAGAGUGCGUAAUAGCUCACUAGUCGAGUGACUCUGCGCCGAAAAUGUACCGGGGCUAAAUACACCACCGAAGCUGCGAAUUGAUACCAAUGGUAUCAGUGGUAGGGGAGCGUUCUAAGUGCAGUGAAGUCAGACCGGAAGGACUGGUGGAGCGCUUAGAAGUGAGAAUGCCGGUAUGAGUAGCGAAAGACGGGUGAGAAUCCCGUCCACCGAAUGCCUAAGGUUUCCUGAGGAAGGCUCGUCCGCUCAGGGUUAGUCAGGACCUAAGCCGAGGCCGACAGGCGUAGGCGAUGGACAACAGGUUGAUAUUCCUGUACCACCUCUUUAUCGUUUGAGCAAUGGAGGGACGCAGAAGGAUAGAAGAAGCGUGCGAUUGGUUGUGCACGUCCAAGCAGUUAGGCUGAUAAGUAGGCAAAUCCGCUUAUCGUGAAGGCUGAGCUGUGAUGGGGAAGCUCCUUAUGGAGCGAAGUCUUUGAUUCCCCGCUGCCAAGAAAAGCUUCUAGCGAGAUAAAAGGUGCCUGUACCGCAAACCGACACAGGUAGGCGAGGAGAGAAUCCUAAGGUGUGCGAGAGAACUCUGGUUAAGGAACUCGGCAAAAUGACCCCGUAACUUCGGGAGAAGGGGUGCUUUCUUAACGGAAAGCCGCAGUGAAUAGGCCCAAGCGACUGUUUAGCAAAAACACAGGUCUCUGCGAAGCCGUAAGGCGAAGUAUAGGGGCUGACACCUGCCCGGUGCUGGAAGGUUAAGGAGAGGGGUUAGCGUAAGCGAAGCUCUGAACUGAAGCCCCAGUAAACGGCGGCCGUAACUAUAACGGUCCUAAGGUAGCGAAAUUCCUUGUCGGGUAAGUUCCGACCCGCACGAAAGGUGUAACGAUUUGGGCACUGUCUCAACCAGAGACUCGGUGAAAUUAUAGUACCUGUGAAGAUGCAGGUUACCCGCGACAGGACGGAAAGACCCCGUGGAGCUUUACUGUAGCCUGAUAUUGAAUUUUGGUACAGUUUGUACAGGAUAGGCGGGAGCCAUUGAAACCGGAGCGCUAGCUUCGGUGGAGGCGCUGGUGGGAUACCGCCCUGACUGUAUUGAAAUUCUAACCUACGGGUCUUAUCGACCCGGGAGACAGUGUCAGGUGGGCAGUUUGACUGGGGCGGUCGCCUC